rnacentral:sRNA from 1 species
CUCCUCCCCUCCCAGCCUCAGGUGCCUGCUUCAGAAAAUGAAGUAGUAAGUCUGCUGGCCUCCGCCAUCUUAGUAAAGUAACUGUCCCAUGAAAGAAAGAUGCAGUCGGGCACUCGCUGGAGAGUUCUGGGCCUCUGCCUCUUAUCAGUUGGCGUUUGGGGGCAAGAUGGUAAUGAAGAAAUGGGUGGUAUUACACAGACACGUGAGUUUAUUGGUCUUUUAUUUAUGCCCUGUCUGAGGAUGCAGAUUGGUGGGUAGAUGAGAAGGAACUGAUUGAGAGAGAUUAACCCCAAGAACUGAGAUCUUCCCAGCAUUGCAUUCUCAACCCCAUUUUAGAAAGGUUCCAAAUAAGGACUUCUGUGGGUUUUUCUUUACAUCCAUCUUACCCUUCCCAAGUCUCCAUGUCCCUGCGUAAACCCUAAAGCCACCUCUCAAAAGGUUCUCUGGUUCCCUUCAAGGUUCUCUAGUUCCCUUCAUUCCACAUAUCUCCUCUUCCACACCCUCUAGCCAGCAGAGCUCCCUUCUGACAAGCAAAUCUAAGACCUAGAUGACAGAUGACUUCCUGCAUUUGGGUGGUUCUUUUGUCACUAAUUUGCCUUUUCUAAAAUUGUCCUGGUUUCUUCUGCCAAUUUCCCUUAUUUCUCCCCAGCAUAUAAAGUCUCCAUCUCUGGAACCACAGUAAUACUAACAUGCCCUCAGUAUCCUGGAUCUGAAAUACUAUGGCAACACAAUGAUAAAAACAUAGAAAGUGAUGAGGAUCACCUGUCACUGACGGGAUUUUCAGAAUUGGAGCAAAGUGGUUAUUAUGUCUGCUACCCCAAAGGAAGCAAACCAGAAGAUGCGAGCUUUUAUCUCUACCUGAGGGCGAGAGGUAAUCCAGGUCUCCAGAACAGGCACCACUGGCUCUUUAGGGAGGACCAUUCAAAAGGGCAUUCUCAAUGAUUUCCCCUAACCCAGCUCACAGUGCCCAGGCGUCUUUGCGCUUCCUCCCACACUCAAUCCCGAGACUCUCUGGUACCACACAGCAUCAGUGUUUCCUGGAAUAUAGAUUAAACACCAAUAUGAGGCCUCUGGGUAACCCCAGUGUGUGCGAGAUCUAAAAUAGCAACUCCCUAAGAGACAGGACUGCGUCACACCCAGGUUCAUGGCACACCAACAUGAGCAUGCCAUGUUGUGGCACAUGGAACCUCCAGAGAUAAAUUUUUCAGAAAGGUUUGCAAAAAAGACUCAAGGCCACUAUAGUAAAAUGGCAUAAGCUAAGGUAUAAUAAUAAAAUAAUAACAAUACUUAACAUUUAUUGAGUGCUUAUUAAGUCUCAAGCACUCUCUGUACCCAACACUUAUCAAGGAUUUUUUUCAUGUAAUCCUCUCAACAACCAUAUGGGUUAAGUACAAUUUUAUUCCCAUGAGUAAAGGGAUGAGGAAACAGAGGGUUUGUGAGUUGAAAACACAUUUCACGCUUCUCACAGUUAGUGAGUAGAAAACACAUUUCACGCUUCUCACAGCUAGUGAGUAAUAAAGCUGGGACUCAAACCCAGGGCUGUUUGACUCCAGUGCCUCUACCCAUGGCCACCACUCUUUGCUUGUCAAUGUUGUUCUAAACAUAUUGAAGGGGUGGCUCUGGCCUUGGCAAGCGUGUGAGUAGUAAGGGGAGAAUGGCCUUCGUGCACUCCCUCCUCACCUCCAACGCCUUGUGUUUUCCUUGCUUAGUGAUUUCCCCUCUCCCCACCCCACCCCCGACAGUGUGUGAGAACUGCAUGGAGAUGGAUGUGAUGUCAGUGGCCACAAUUGUCAUAGUGGACAUCUGCAUCACUGGGGGCUUGCUGCUGCUGGUUUACUACUGGAGCAAGAAUCGAAAGGCCAAGGCCAAGCCUGUGACACGAGGAGCGGGUGCUGGCGGCAGGCAAAGGGGACAAAACAAGGAGAGGCCACCACCUGUUCCCAACCCAGACUAUGAGCCCAUCCGGAAAGGCCAGCAGGACCUGUAUUCUGGCCUGAAUCAGAGACGCAUCUGAUCCUCUGGAGAACACUGCCUCCCGCUGGCCCAGGUCUCCUCUCCAGUCCCCCUGCGACUCCCUGUUUCCUGGGCUAGUCUUGGACCCCACGAGAGAAUCAUUCCUCCGCCUCAUGGUGAACUCGCGCCCUCCAGCCUGAUCCCCAGCUCCCUCCUUCCUGCCUUCUCUGCUGGUACCCAGUCCUAAAACAUUGCUGCUUCCUCUUCCUUUGAAGCAUCAUCAGUAGUCACACCCUCACAGCUGGCCUGCCCUCUUGCCAGGAUUAUUUAUUUGUGCUAUUCACUCCCUUCCCUUUGGAUGUAACUUCUCCGUUCAGUUCCCUCCUUUUCUUGCAUGUAAGUUGUCCCCCAUCCCAAACUAUUCCAUCUACUUUUCUAUCGCCGUCCCCUUUUGCAACCCUCUCUGGGGAUGGACUGGGUAAAUGUUGACAGAGGCCCUGCCCUGUUCACAGAUCCUGGCCCUGAGCCAGCCCUGUGCUCCUCCCUCCCCCGACACUCCCUACCAACCCCCUAAUCCCCUACUCCCUCCCCCAACUCCGUCUCCCGUCUCCACUGUAGGCCACUGGAUGGCCAUUUGCAUCUCCGUAAAUGUGCUCUGCUCCUCAGCUGAGAGAGAAAAAAAUAAAUUGUAUUUGGCUGCAAGA